AUUGAACGCUGGCGGCAUGCUUUACACAUGCAAGUCGAACGGCAGCGCGGGCUUCGGCCUGGCGGCGAGUGGCGAACGGGUGAGUAAUACAUCGGAACGUGCCCAGUAGUGGGGGAUAGCUCGGCGAAAGCCGGAUUAAUACCGCAUACGACCUGAGGGUGAAAGCGGGGGAUCUUCGGACCUCGCGCUAUUGGAGCGGCCGAUGGCAGAUUAGCUAGUUGGUGGGGUAAAGGCCUACCAAGGCGACGAUCUGUAGCUGGUCUGAGAGGACGACCAGCCACACUGGGACUGAGACACGGCCCAGACUCCUACGGGAGGCAGCAGUGGGGAAUUUUGGACAAUGGGCGAAAGCCUGAUCCAGCAAUGCGGCGUGUGUGAUGAAGGCCUUCGGGUUGUAAAGCACUUUUGGCGGGAACGAAAAGGACUGUGCAAAUACCACGGUUCGAUGACGGUACCCGCAGAAUAAGCACCGGCUAACUACGU
rnacentral:rRNA from 1 species